UACGGGGGGGGCAAGCGUUGUUCGGAAUUACUGGGCGUAAAGGGCUUGUAGGUGGCCAACUAAGUCCGACGUGAAAUCCCUAGGCUUAACCUAGGAACUGCGUCGGAUACUGGAUGGCUUGAAUCCGGGAGAGGGAUGCGGAAUUCCAGGUGUAGCGGUGAAAUGCGUAGAUAUCUGGAGGAACACCAAUGGCGAAGGCAGCUUACUGGACAGUUAUUGACGCUGAGAUGCGAAAGCGUGGGGAGCAAACAGG
rnacentral:rRNA from 1 species